AUUGAACGCUGGCGGCAGGCCUAACACAUGCAAGUCGAGCGGGGACUUCGGUCCUAGCGGCGAACGGGUGAGUAAUGCUUGGGAAUCUGCCCAGUAGUGGGGGAUAACGUCCCGAAAGGGACGCUAAUACCGCAUACGUCCUACGGGAGAAAGAGGGGGAUCUUCGGACCUCUCGCUAUUGGAUGAGCCCAAGUCGGAUUAGCUAGUUGGUAGGGUAAUGGCCUACCAAGGCGACGAUCCGUAGCUGGUCUGAGAGGAUGAUCAGCCACACUGGAACUGAGACACGGUCCAGACUCCUACGGGAGGCAGCAGUGGGGAAUAUUGGACAAUGGGCGAAAGCCUGAUCCAGCCAUGCCGCGUGUGUGAAGAAGGCCUUCGGGUUGUAAAGCACUUUAAGCGGGGAGGAAGGUUCGCGGCCUAAUACGUCACGGAAUUGACGUUACCCGCAGAAUAAGCACCGGCUAACUCUGUG
rnacentral:rRNA from 1 species